rnacentral:rRNA from 1 species
GACUUCUGGUUUAAUGCACCUGGCCCGCGGCCGUAAGGCCUGUGAGUGCCGGCGCGCGUUUACCAUCCUUCUAGAAAACGGGUCUUCCCUUAACUGGGCCGGAUUCGAGAUCUAGAUCAUUUACUUUGAAAAAAUUAGAGUGUUUAAAGCAGGCUAUUGCUAUGAAUACAUUAGCAUGGAAUAAUAAUCUAGGACUUCGGUUCUAUUUUGUUGGUUUCUAUGACUGAAGUAAUGAUUGAUAGGGAUAGUUGGGGGUGCUAGUAUUGGCCGGUCAGAGGUGAAAUUCUUGGAUUCGGUCAAGACUAACUUAUGCGAAAGCAUU